rnacentral:lncRNA from 1 species
GAGAUAACCUCACCAAGAAACUAAGAAGUGUUCUAAACAAAGAACAAUGAGAGAAACUCAUAAAAAGGGAAAAACAAUCUGUGUUAUUUCGUGGCUCUAAGGCCUUAUUUAUAGGAUUACAAGUUGUAGAAAUCCAAAGAAGAAUGUGCUAAAAACAAGACAUAGAAACUAGAAAUGAAGACUUUGACUAAAGACCGAAAUUAAUGAUUUUUGUUGAAUUAUUU